rnacentral:snRNA from 1 species
GUGCUUGCUUUGGCAGCAUGUAUACUAAAACUGGAACAAUACAGAGAUUUAGCAUGGCUUCUGCAAAAGGAUCACACACAAAUUUUUGAAGCAUUCGACAUUUUU